UGGGGAAUUUUGGACAAUGGGCGGAAGCCUGAUCCAGCCAUGCCGCGUGAGUGAAGAAGGCCUUCGGGUUGUAAGGCUCUUUCGGUGGGGAAGAAAUGGCACUUUCUAAUACAGAGUGUUGAUGACGGUACCCGCAUAAGAAGCACCGGCUAACUACGUGCCAGCAGCCGCGGUAAUACGUAGGGUGCGAGCGUUAAUCGGAAUUACUGGGCGUAAAGCGUGCGCAGGCGGUUGUGUAAGUCAGAUGUGAAAUCCCCGGGCUCAACCUGGGAACUGCAUUUGAGACUGCACGGCUAGAGUGUGGCAGAGGGGGGUAGAAUUCCACGUGUAGCAGUGAAAUGCGUAGAGAUGUGGAGGAAUACCGAUGGCGAAGGCAGCCCCCUGGGCCCUUACUGACGCUCAUGCACGAAAGCGUGGGGAGCAAACG
rnacentral:rRNA from 1 species